rnacentral:rRNA from 1 species
UACGUAGGGUGCGAGCGUUGUCCGGAAUUACUGGGCGUAAAGAGCUCGUAGGCGGUUUGUCACGUCGUCUGUGAAAUCCCUCGGCUUAACCGGGGGCGUGCAGGCGAUACGGGCAGACUUGAGUACUACAGGGGAGACUGGAAUUCCUGGUGUAGCGGUGAAAUGCGCAGAUAUCAGGAGGAACACCGGUGGCGAAGGCGGGUCUCUGGGUAGUAACUGACGCUGAGGAGCGAAAGCAUGGGUAGCGAACAGGAUUAGAAACCCCAGUAGUCC